AUUGAACGCUGGCGGCAGGCCUAACACAUGCAAGUCGAACGAGUGCCGGACGGGUGCGUAAUGUCUGGGAACCUGCCUGAUGGAGGGGGAUAACUACUGGGAACGGUAGCUAAUACCGCAUACCCUCAGAUGUGCCCAGAUGGGAUUGGCUAGUUGGGUGGGUAACGGCUCACCAAGGCGCCGAUCCCUAGCUGGUCUGAGAGGAUGACCAGCCACACUGGAACUGAGACACGGGCCAGACUCCUCCGGGAGGCAGCAGUGGGGAAGAGUGCCCAAUGGGCGCAAGCCUGAUGCAGCCAUGCCGCGUGUAUGAAGAAGGCCUUCGGGUUGUAAAGUACUUUCAGCGGGGAGGCGUUACCCGAAGAAGAAGCACCGGCUAACUCCGUGCCAGCAGCAGCGGUAAUAC
rnacentral:rRNA from 1 species